rnacentral:tRNA from 1 species
GAGAUAUUAGUAUAAGUUUGUAUAUUUCUUUUUCGAAGAAAUGGUUUUUAUCUUA